GUUAGUAUUUGAUUCAGCAAUUGGGCGAUGGAAAGCGAUGGAUGAAUAUAUAAAGGUAUGUGUAUGCGUGAUGGCGUUCUCUCUUUGACGCUUUGGAACAUCCUCAUCUUCCCCAAUCAGCCAAUCUCUCUAUCAGGGCUUUUCCAUUUCUAGCAACAGACAAUCUCUCCACUAAUAAUGGAAAUGGGAGCCUAUGCCAAUGAACGGCCUUGAUUGUGGGAAGAUGGGUU
rnacentral:lncRNA from 1 species